rnacentral:rRNA from 1 species
GAUGUGGCUAUUCCUUGGCAUCUUGGAAUAACUAAACGGAUUUAUUCGCAUAGGGAGCGGCUCAUCGACCCAUCAGGUAGUUGGUAGGGUAAUGGCCUACCAAGCCGACGACGGGUAGCGGGUCUGAGAGGAUGAUCCCGCCCGAGUGGGACUGAGACACGGCCCACACACCUACGGGUGGCAGCAGUUGAGAAUCUUGCACAAUGGGGGAAACCCUGAUGCAGCGACGCCGCGUGGACGAUGAAGGGUUUAGGCCUGUAAAGUCCUUUUACCAGGAAAGACUUAGGACGGUACCUGGUGAAUAAGCUCCGGCUAACUACGUA